rnacentral:lncRNA from 1 species
ACAAGGAGAGGGGCUUUGUGUCUUGUUUCACACUGUGUCCCCAGGCUUAGAAUAUUCUGGCAUCAGAAGGCACUCAGUAAACAUAGAGAGGAAGAAAGGAAGAAGAUGAAAUCAGGAGUACAGAUUAAAGUGUUAUCUUUGGAAGACAGGCAAGACAUCCUUUGGGACAGAAGGGAAGGAGAGAAAGCUGGGGAACAUGCAGAUAAUACAAGAGGUGCGGUUUGUGACUGAUGGCUGCUAUUUUCUCUGUGAGACUGAAUCCAGACAACUUUGGACAUUCCUUCAUUUGAAGAAUUUUUACUGAACAAUUACAGACCAUUGAUUGAUACAGUGAAGAUCAGAAUGGCAUAGUUUUCCUGUCUUCAUGGAGAUGAAUGAAUGAACUGUAUUUUUUAUUAGCCUAAGCAUGAAUUCUUCCCAAAUUUCCUCCAUGAACCAUAGGAUCCUACCUCUUAACCAUUUUAUGAAAAUUCUAUGGUGAAUUGAGGUCCUCAAGUUGUCUGACAAUAUCUGAUUUUGCCACGGUCAUGUGGGAAAAGUAGGCAUGUGAGCAAGUCAUAGUUUUACUUGUUUGGAAGAUUCUUCUAAUUAUGUCAAGAUGAAAGGUUUUAUACUGUGUAGAAGGCAGUGUGAGAGAAGUGGACAGUAGAACUCCUAUUUGGUGGGCCAGUGGCUAUAUUUUAAAAUAUGAAGGA